AUUCCAAUCGAACUCGGAGAUAGCUGGUUCUCCUCGAAAUAGCUUUAGGGCUAGCGUGAGGUGAUAUGAGUACUGGAGGUAGAGCACUGAAUGGGCUAGGGGGUAUAGCACUUACCGAACCUUAUCAAACUCCGAAUGCCAGAUACUUUUAGCCUUGCAGUCAGACUGCGAAUGAUAAGGUCCGUAGUCAAAAGGGAAACAGCCCAGAUCGUCAGCUAAGGUCCCAAAGUGUAAGUUAAGUGGAAAAGGAUGUGGGAUUUCUAAGACAACUAGGAUGUUGGCUUAGAAGCAGCCACUCAUUAAAAGAGUGCGUAAUAGCUCACUAGUCGAGAGAUCCUGCGCCGAAGAUGUCCGGGGCUAAAACUUACCACCGAAGCUACGGGAUUGCAAUAGCAAUCGGUAGAGGAGCGUCGUAAUCGGGCUGAAGUCGUACCGUAAGGAGCGGUGGACUGAUUACGAGUGAGAAUGUUGGCAUUAGUAGCGAGAUGUAGGUGAGAAUCCUACAGGCCGAAUACCUAAGGUUUCCUCAGGAAGGUUCGUCCUCUGAGGGUUAGUCGGGACCUAAGCCGAGGCCGAAAGGCGUAGGUGAUGGACAAUCGGUUGAUAUUCCGAUACCACUAUAAUCGUUAUUAUCGAUGGCGUGACGGAGAAGGAUAGAGUGUGCUAGCUAUUGGAUGCUAGUCUAAGCGUUUAGGGAGUCAGGAUAGGCAAAUCCGUUCUGAUAAUUCUGAGGCGUGAUGGGGAAGGUUCCAAGGAACCGAAGUACUUGAUUCCAUGCUUCCAAGAAAAGCGUCUAGAAAGAGAAGUAGUGCCCGUACCGUAAACCGACACAGGUAGGUGAGGAGAGAAUCCUAAGGCCGGCGGAAGAAUCACAGUUAAGGAACUAGGCAAAUUGACCCCGUAACUUCGGGAUAAGGGGUGCCUGCGCGAGCAGGUCGCAGAGAAUAGGCCCAAGCAACUGUUUAGCAAAAACACAGGUCUCUGCUAAAGCGAAAGCUGAUGUAUAGGGGCUGACGCCUGCCCGGUGCUGGAAGGUUAAGGGGAACACUUAGCGCAAGCGAAGGUGUGAACUUAAGCCCCAGUAAACGGCGGCCGUAACUAUAACGGUCCUAAGGUAGCGAAAUUCCUUGUCAGGUAAGUUCUGACCCGCACGAAUGGCGUAAUGAUUUGGGCACUGUCUCAACUGUGAAUCCGGCGAAGUUGUAGUGCGAGUGAAGAUGCUCGCUACCCGCGAUUGGACGGAAAGACCCCGUAGAGCUUUACUGUAGCUUAGCAUUGAAUUUCGGUAUUGUCUGUACAGGAUAGGUGGGAGACUAGGAAACCAGAGCGUCAGCUUUGGCGGAGUCACCCUUGGGAUACCACCCUGAUAGUACUGAGGUUCUAACUGGAUGCCAUGAAUCUGGUGACAGGACAUUGUUAGGUGGGCAGUUUGACUGGGGCGGUCGCCUCCGAAAGUGUAACGGAGGCGCCCAAAGGUUCCCUCAGAACGGUCGGAAAUCGUUCGAAGAGUGCAAAGGCAGAAGGGAGCCUGACUGCGACACCCACAAGUGGAGCAGGGACGAAAGUCGGGCUUAGUGAUCCGGUGGUACCUCGUGGGAGGGCCAUCGCUCAACGGAUAAAAGCUACCUCGGGGAUAACAGGCUGAUCUCCCCCAAGAGUCCACAUCGACGGGGAGGUUUGGCACCUCGAUGUCGGCUCAUCGCAUCCUGGGGCUGUAUUCGGUCCCAAGGGUUUGGCUGUUCGCCAAUUAAAGCGGCACGCGAGCUGGGUUCAGAACGUCGUGAGACAGUUCGGUCCCUAUCCGUCGCGGGCGUAGGAAAUUUGAGAGGAUCUGCUCCUAGUACGAGAGGACCAGAGUGGACUUACCGCUGGUGUACCAGUUGUUCUGCCAAGAGCAUCGCUGGGUAGCUAUGUAGGGAAGGGAUAAACGCUGAAAGCAUCUAAGUGUGAAGCCCACCUCAAGAUGAGAUUUCCCAUGAUUUU
rnacentral:rRNA from 1 species